rnacentral:rRNA from 1 species
GAAUAUUGGACAAUGGGCGCAAGCCUGAUCCAGCCAUGCCGCGUGGGUGAAGAAGGCCUUCGGGUUGUAAAGCCCUUUUGUCCGGAAAGAAAAGCAAUCGGUUAAUACCCGGUUGUUCUGACGGUACCGGAAGAAUAAGCACCGGCUAACUUCGUGCCAGCAGCCGCGGUAAUACGAAGGGUGCAAGCGUUACUCGGAAUUACUGGGCGUAAAGCGUGCGUAGGUGGUUCGUUAAGUCCGAUGUGAAAGCCCUGGGCUCAACCUGGGAAUGGCAUGGGAUACUGGCGGGCUAGAGUGCGGUAGAGGGCAGUGGAAUUCCCGGUGUAGCAGUGAAAUGCGUAGAGAUCGGGAGGAACAUCCGUGGCGAAGGCGACUGCCUGGACCAGCACUGACACUGAGGCACGAAAGCGUGGGGAGCAAAC